rnacentral:RNase_P_RNA from 1 species
UAAACCAGACGAUCGCGGGCCUUUAACUAGGCAUGAGGAAAGUCCGGGCUCCAUAGGGCAAGGAUGACGGAUAACGUCCGCCGCAGGUAACUGUAGGGAAAGUGCAACAGAAACAUUCCGCCGAAACGGGUAAUGCCGUGGUAAGGUUGAAAUGGUGAGGUAAGAGCUCACCGGCAUCAUGGAGACAUGAUGGCCGUGUAAACCCCAUCCGGAGCAAGACUGAGUUGGGCAUUGAAGGAGGCUGCUCGUCUCCGCCCCGUAGGUAAGUCGCUUGAUGUCGCAAGCAAUUGCGAUGCUAGAUGGAUGAUCGUCUAAUACAGAACCCGGCUUAUGGUUUGCC